GUUGGAAAUAUGUUUGAAAGGUGUCCAAGCACAUCUGCAGGAGGCGUUCAAGAAAAGGACACAAGCUGCAAAUGAUUGAGAGGCUCAGAUCCUGAGCCGUGAGUCCUUCCGUGAUGUAAUAUCUGUUACGCUGCAGCCAUGGAGUCCAGACCCAAAGCUAGACAUAGAGUGAUGGCUACACCAGGCAAUAAACAGCUGCUAUUGCUUCAAAAGCUAUACCAGGCAGAAAGUGCUGUGGA